UACAGAGGGCCCAAGCGUUGUUCGGAUUCACUGGGCGUAAAGGGCGCGUAGGCGGUCGGGUAAGUCUGUUGUGAAAUCUCCGAGCCUAACUCGGAAACUGCGUCGGAUACUAUUCGGCUAGAGGAAUGGAGGGGAGACUGGAAUUCUCGGUGUAGCAGUGAAAUGCGUAGAUAUCGAGAGGAACACCAGUGGCGAAGGCGAGUCUCUGGACAUUUCCUGACGCUGAGGCGCGAAAGCCAGGGGAGCAAACGGG
rnacentral:rRNA from 1 species